GGUGGUGUAGGUGUAGCGGUGGCGAUGCUGCAAGGCGCGCCACUUCGCCGACGACAUGUUUGAUGAAAUAAAUGCCUCUCAAACACAAAGACAGUGUUACUUUAUAGUCUUCGAAGAGAAAUGAAGGUGGCCACGCGUCGAUGAUGUUCGGCGAAAUUCCUCACACAGACAGUAAAUGUGUGAGUCUUCGUUUUGGGUGUUUAGAGGGGAAAGAGGUGCCGCUAUGAUGUUCGAUGAAAUGCCUCACUCAAAGGGACAGCCAGCCGCUGAGUUUCUGUGCAUGGAUAGUAGGAAGGAGGAGGAAGCGCCCAACUAGGUCUUCGAGAGACAGGGUUUCUGUUACGAGACUCACUCUGUGCCAUUUGAAGUUAAGAAUGAACAUGAGAUCAAACAGCUUUUCUAGUGAAAGGACAACUCGGUUUCCAGCAAACAUGUUCAUUUCUGGAAAAUCAUUAAAGGCUGUUCUUUCUAUUCUCCAAUAUUUUUUUUUUUUUUUUUACCUUUACAAUACACAAAGAUGAGCUUGCAUUGACCUUGACACCAAGUGCUGUUUAAAGUUUCAUUUAAUUGAUUAUUAUUAUUCCUUA